rnacentral:rRNA from 1 species
UAGGGAAUCUUCGGCAAUGGGGGCAACCCUGACCGAGCAACGCCGCGUGAGUGAAGAAGGGUUUCGGAUCGUAAAGCUCUGUUGUAAGAGAAGAACGUGUGUGAGAGUGGAAAGUUCACACAGUGACGGUAACUUACCAGAAAGGGACGGCUAACUACGUGCCAGCAGCCGCGGAAAAACGUAGGUCCCGAGCGUUGUCCGGAUUUAUUGGGCGUAAAGUGAGCGCAGGCGGUUUAAUAAGUAGGAAGUUAAAGGCAGUGGCUUAACCAUUGUUCGCUUUGGAAACUGUUAAACUUGAGUGCGGAAGGGGAGAGUGGAAUUCCAUGUGUAGCGGUGAAAUGCGUAGAUAUAUGGAGGAACGCCGGUGGCGAAAGCGGCUCUCUGGUCUGUAACUGACGCUGAGGCUCGAAAGCGUGGGGAGCAAACAGG